rnacentral:rRNA from 1 species
UAAUGUAUGGGGAUCUGCCCGAUAGAGGGGGAUAACUACUGGAAACGGUGGCUAAUACCGCAUAAUGUCUACGGACCAAAGCAGGGGCUCUUCGGACCUUGCACUAUCGGAUGAACCCAUAUGGGAUUAGCUAGUAGGUGGGGUAAAGGCUCACCUAGGCGACGAUCUCUAGCUGGUCUGAGAGGAUGAUCAGCCGCACUGGGACUGAGACACGGCCCAG